rnacentral:rRNA from 1 species
UAGAGUAAUGCGUGACCAACCUGCCCCAUGCUCCAGAAUAGCUCUUGGAAACGGGUGGUAAUGCUGGAUGCUCCAACUUGACGCAUGUCUUGUUGGGAAAGUGUUUAGUGGCAUGGGAUGGGGUCGCGUCCUAUCAGCUUGUAGGCGGGGUAAUGGCCCACCUAGGCUUCGACGGGUAGCCGGCCUGAGAGGGCGGACGGCCACAUUGGGACUGAGAUACGGCCCAGACUACUACGGGAGGCAGCAGGC